GUGUCAGCAGCCGCGGUAAUACGGAGGAUGCGAGCGUUAUCCGGAUUUAUUGGGUUUAAAGGGUGCGUAGGCGGAUUAGUAAGUCAGUGGUGAAAACCUGCAGCUUAACUGUAGACUUGCCAUUGAUACUGUUAGUCUUGAGUAUGGUCAAGGAAGGCGGAAUGUGUAAUGUAGCGGUGAAAUGCUUAGAUAUUACACAGGACACCGAUUGCGAAGGCAGCUUUCUGGGCCAUUACUGACGCUGAUGCACGAAAGCGUGGGGAUCGAACAGGAUUAGAUACCCUGGUAGUCCACGCCGUAAACGAUGAUCACUCGCUGUUGGCGAUAUACAGUCAGCGGCAAAGCAAAAGCAUUAAGUGAUCCACCUGGGGAGUACGGCCGCAAGGCUGAAACUCAAAGGAAUUGACGGGA
rnacentral:rRNA from 1 species